GAAUGUGAGGGCAUUCUGCCUGUGACAUCUAUCAUCCCUUUGUCAGGGUUGAUUCAGCAGAUCCUGCUGGCCGGAUGGGUGUCCUGCCUCCCUUCUGAAGGUGCAAGCUCAAAGAGGACAGCCUUCCCCAAAUCAAGUCAGACUGGUCUUUCACAGAGGGUGUGUGAGUAGCUGCACUCCCCUGCAAGAACCUCCAAAUGAGCUCUCAAGGUACAAACAAAUCCCAUUCUACUUGCAUCCUAAUCUCUAUCUCAGCUAGUUUAGUCUCGGUUAAUAACCAACAGAUGUAUUAU
rnacentral:snRNA from 1 species